GGGCCGCGCGAGCCUCUGUGCUGCCGGCGGGAUGCAGCGGGCGUGCGGCCAGGGCGCGGGGCCGCCACCUGCUGGGGAGCCAGGAACAGCGCUGUCUACAAGUUCACCAGCCAGGACACCUCCGACUACUUGAGAACACACGUGUGAUGGUGCAAUUUCUGCUUUUCUGAAAGAACUCGGAGGAGACCUGAUAGAGGAGCUUGGGGAACAUCUCCGUCAGGACACAGUCCCUGCAGGUCAAUGAAAUCUACCACGAUGAGUCUUUGGGGGCCCACAUCAACGUGGUGCUGGUGCGGAUCAUCCUGCUGAGCUGUGGGAAGUCCAUGAGCCUCAUUGAGAUCGGGAACCCUUCCCAGAGCCUGGAGAAUGUCUGCCACUGGGCCUACCUGCAGCAGAAGCCAGACACAGACCACGACGAGUACCACGAUCAUGCCAUUUUCCUCACUCGGCAGGACUUCGGGCUGUCAGGCAUACAAGGUGAGCUGCCCUCAGGUGAGGAAUCGGGGGGGCAAGUGCAGUGGGAGGAGCGUGGUGGAGGAGC